AUUUAUGAAAGUCGGUGAAUGAUUGCUCUCUUUAGAUAUCAUGUGAAAGGCUCUUCUACAAAAGGAACAUGAAUGUUUUUUGUGAUACGAUUAAAAUGUGAAUUGUUGCUUAAACAAUUAGAAUUAAAAUUCCUAACACUGACUACAAUGAGAAUCAAACGUGACUUGUUGCUUAAUGCAAAAACAUUCUCAAAGAGCUCGUGAUCCUAAUACUAAAUAACCACCAUUAAUUAAAUGAAGACAAACAUAUAUAUACUAAACUUUAUGCAAAUGGUAUCGAAAUAUAGUCCCACUAGGCUUUAAAUGAAAAAAGUCCAAUAAAGAACUAACAUGAGCCCACAUAAAAACUAAAACGAAGUCGAACGCUAAACCAACUAAACCGAAGAAUUAACAGUUCUUCAUGACAGUUUAAGUGGUGGAUUCAGCUCUGUUUUCAUACCCCCACAAUUCGAAAAUAUUGAAAAUGCCGAAAUUUGGUUACUGACCCUUUUGCAUUAAAAGAUUGAGACUUCAACUUGAUAAACAGUGAGAUAGACAAAAGUGCUAAGAAUGAUUUUCAAAGUAGUUACUCUACCGGAAAUGUUGUAGCCCCACGACGGACGAUAAGCCUCACGGCGUUUCAGCUCUUUCACGUGAUCUCCUUAGCUUCGAGACCACUUCUCAGGUUCCUGAAGGGCUUGGAAGUUAUGUUGUGUCUUCUAAAAAGGCUCAAGCAAAUUGGUAUGGAAAGAUACUUGAGGCCUGGAAGCAAGCCAAGCCUCGGCCUCAGACCGAUGAGGAAGCUGCAAGGCUUGUUAUCACGACUCUAAAGGGGCAUAAGAAAGCUGAUGUUGAGGGACUUUUGUCUUUCUAUAGACUCUCUUCGCCUGGUAAGCUGGAUGAGAUCAUGACGGCGUAGACUUACAAGUUAGUCUGAAUCGAAGCAUUGUCAUGUUCCCUUCACUUCUUUCCUCAUAAUCUUCAGCUAUAAAAAGGUAAGCCCUAUCAUGUUUCUUGACGAGAUAGUGUUAUGUGAUUUACAUUUGUAGAACUCUCCACUUGCUUCUUUAAUAGCUAUUGAUUUGGUUUUAAAUUCAGAUCAAAAUUGUUGACUUCCCAACCAACGGAACUUGCGUUCCUUCUUCCUCAUGUCGACAUCUACAGAGAAAUCAGUUUCGUUCCACCUUCAGACUCUAAGACUUCUCGGUGAGUCUGUUUGAAUUUGCUACUUUUGUAUCUUUUAUGUUAAUCAAUUCCAUAGAUCUCAAUAUUACUGUUUAGGCAACUAUGAUUUUUUUUUGCUGCAGAGAAGUGCAUGCGAACUUGAAGAUACUUGAGUAGUGCAUAUCUCUGUAACUCUGUUUCAAGCCAGAUAGUUCAGCUGUAUAUAUUUGAAUCUUUCUGCAACUGGGUAACCAAAAUUGUUUUGUUCCUUUUUUAUGAUUUAGUCACUAAAUGUCCAAUAUCUUUGUUUCAUAUACAUUACCCAUUCACGUUACUUAAUCCCCUAAUCUAUGGUUGAUUCAUUGAGGUUUUUUUUUGGUCAAAGAUUCAUUGAGGUUUAGGAUAUGAGUUCACACACAAAAGUCUAAAUGAGAUUGUGGAGAGAAAGUUUGGAAACACCGAGAAGCCAGAAAACAAAAACAAGAGAAAACACUAAUAAAUGAAGUAAGCUUCUUAUAGUACACCAAGUGUUGCUUUUUGUUUCAUAGCUUCUAACAAAAUACAGAAAAUGUUCCCAACAGAAUGCAGACAAAGGGUAAUACAAAAAUACUAAGGUGUCUAAUGGAGAAUGCAGACAAUGGUAACAAAACAUACUUGGGUGUCUAAUAAUUUCAUGUGGAAAUCCCCUCAGUUUCCAGCUUCAAACCUACUCACGGAUCCUCCGGUUACGGGUGCGGAAAAAGAGUUGAUACUGAAAGAUUGAAUAUUCUUGGAGAGCUAUGCCUACACCCUAAUUUGCAGAUGGGUGAUAACGAAAUCGAAGUCAUAUAAUUCAUGUUUUCUUGAUCAUGUUAGCUUUUGAAAUCAUAUUCUCUACAAUCUUGAAAUGUUCCAAAUUAUCUUAAUUGCAUAUGUUGAAUAUGUAAAGCUAUUUAACUGUAUUGGAAAUGGUGAAUACGUAAAAAAAAAAAAAGAAUCACAUGAAAGACCUUUUAACUCUAUAAAAAAACAACCACGUGAAAGAACUUCACUUCUAACUCUAUAGAGCAUCAAUAUUGUAUUGAUGCCUUUAAGCAUCAAUAUUCUCCAACAAAUUACACAUCAAUUUAUAUAAAAUAUAAAAUAAAUAGUAAAAUGUUAUUAUGUUAAAAACUGUGUCAUUAAAUAAAUACUUUAGUGGUUUUUUUACCGAUCAAAAUAUGAUUCAUUUUAUUUAACAAUUAUUAUUUUGUGAUGUAAUUUUAUUAAAACAGAAAGAGACAAAUCAUCUAUCAAUCUAUCAUGCAAUCUACUUAAUUGCAGCAAUUUUGAAGUGUAAGCUUCUAAAAUUUUAUAUAAUUUUAACAAAUUUAUGAAAUUCUCAUACCUUUCAAUGUUUUAUUAGUUAAAACAAAUAUAUUACCACAACACCAAAUAUUCAUAAAUAAUUUAAUAAUUAAUGUUAUAUUUAAAAACAAACCAACUAUAAUUUUAAACAUUAUAAAAAUAAUAAACAUAACUUUAAAUAACAAAUAAUAAAAUAUGAAUUUAAUUAUACUAAUUUACUGAUAUUAUAAAUAUUUUCAAGAAUUUACUUUUAUUUUUUUUAAAGAUAAAAACUAUAUAAUCAAUAUAAUCAUUCACAAUAUGUCAAGUCAUUAAAAUAUUCAUUUUAACAUAUAUAUAAGUUGGUUUAAAAUGAAUAUAUAAUUUUAUUUAUAGUUUUAUAACUUACAUAUAUGUGAAUGAAUUGAAAAGAACAUGAAAAAAUUAUUUCUAAUUUUUAUAUCAUAAAAAAGCUCUGCAUAAUUAGCUAGCAACAAUUAGCAGUCACAUUACAUGGAAUAGAAGAUUAUUUUUUAUUUCUCACUAGCAGUAAUUAGCAGGCAUAUUAGACCAUCUGCAAGCGUGGAUUCGAUAAAGA